CGUAAAGCUCUGUUGUUAAAGAAGAACACGUAUGAGAGUAACUGUUCAUACGUUGACGGUAUUUAACCAGAAAGUCACGGCUAACUACGUGCCAGCAGCCGCGGUAAUACGUAGGUGGCAAGCGUUAUCCGGAUUUAUUGGGCGUAAAGAGAGUGCAGGCGGGUUUUCUAAGUCUGAUGUGAAAGCCUUCGGCUUAACCGGAGAAGUGCAUCGGAAACUGGAUAACUUGAGUGCAGAAGAGGGUAGUGGAACUCCAUGUGUAGCGGUAGAAUGCGUAGAUAUAUGGAAGAACACCAGUGGCGAAGGCGGCUACCUGGUCUGCAACUGACGCUGAGACUCGAAAGCAUGGGUAGCGAACAGGAUUAGAUACCCUGGUAG
rnacentral:rRNA from 1 species